CGCACUAAGUUGACCGCCUGGGGAGUACGGCCGCAAGGUUAAAACUCAAAUGAAUUGACGGGGGCCCGCACAAGCGGUGGAGCAUGUGGUUUAAUUCGAUGCAACGCGAAGAACCUUACCAUCCCUUGACAUCCAGUGAACUUUCUAGAGAUAGAUUGGUGCCUUCGGGAACACUGAGACAGGUGCUGCAUGGCUGUCGUCAGCUCGUGUUGUGAGAUGUUGGGUUAAGUCCCGCAACGAGCGCAACCCUUAUCCUUAGUUGCCAGCGAUUCGGUCGGGAACUCUGGGGAGACUGCCGGUGAUAAACCGGAGGAAGGUGGGGACGACGUCAAGUCAUCAUGGCCCUUACGGGAUGGGCUACACACGUGCUACAAUGGCGCGUACAAAGGGCAGCGAACCUGCGAGGGUAAGCGAAUCUCAUAAAGCGCGUCGUAGUCCGGAUUGGAGUCUGCAACUCGACUCCAUGAAGUCGGAAUCGCUAGUAAUCGUGGAUCAGAAUGCCACGGUGAAUACGUUCCCGGGCCUUGUACACACCGCCCGUCACACCAUGGGAGUGGGCUGCACCAGAAGUGGUUAGUUUAACCUUCGGGAGAACGAUCACCACGGUGUGGUUCAUGACUGGGGUGAAGUCGUAACAAGGUAGCCGUAGGGGAACCUGCGGCUGGAUCACCUCCUUA
rnacentral:ncRNA from 1 species